CUCUUACUUGGACAAGACGAAAACUCUGUUAUAAAGAGUUUUACUGCAUCUGUAGAUCGGAAAUUCAUCUCUUUGAUGUCAUUAAGCUCUGAUGGUUGUAUAUAUGAAACCUUGAUACCAAUACGUCCAGCUGACCCAGGAAAAAAUCAGAGCUUAGUUAAAUCACUGCUGCUCAAGGCUGUUGUAUCUGGUAAUGCUCGAAAUGGAGUUGCACUUACUGCCCUGGAUCAGGAUCACGUCGCAGUCCUAGGAAGUCCACUAGCAGCUUCUAAGGGUAACUGACAUCCAAUUCAUUAAGAAGGCCUUUGUAUGUUUCCUUCACGGUGUACCUUUUAGUCUUCCUUUUCUUUUUCAUUUCAUUAUUACCCAGACUAAUUCAUUCUCUUUAUCAGCAUACUCAAUUUUUUUUGUGCCUUCCUAAUUCUUCUUGAAUUGGUUUUUAUUUUUAUUUUGCAUUGAUCUUUCAAAAACACUUCUUGCUAUCACCACCAUGCUCAUAACUAUGUCAUAGAGAAAUAAAAAUGGUGAAUAUACUAGUCACCAUCAUACUAGCCUGCAGGUAUUUGAAACAUUAGUAAGCCUACAUUUGAGGAUUGGAUUCUUGGCAACAUUUCACAUCAUGGAAAUCCACUGGACAUGAACACCUUGAAAUGU
rnacentral:sRNA from 1 species